rnacentral:rRNA from 1 species
AAGUUUUUGGUUUAAAGAUUAAGCCAUGCAUGCUUUGAUUCAUCAAUGAAAUUGCGUACGGCUCAUUAGAGCAGAUAUCACCUUAUUCGGAAUCCUAUAUGGAUAACUGCGGAAAUACUGGAGCUAAUACAUGCAACUAUACCCCAACGCAAGGCGGGGUGCAAUUAUUAGAACAGACCAAACGUUCUCGGACGUUGUUUGUUGACUCUGAAUAAAGCAGUUUACUGUCAGUUUCGACUGACUCUAUCCGAAAAGGGUGUCUGCCCUUUCAACUAGAUGGUAGUUCAUUGGACUACCAUGGUUGUUACGGGUAACGGAGAAUAAGGGUUCGACUCCGGAGAGGGAGCCUUAGAAACGGCUACCACGUCCAAGGAAGGCAGCAGGCGCGAAACUUAUCCACUGUUGAGUAUGAGAUAGUGACUAAAAAUAUAAAGACUCAUCCUUUUGGAUGAGUUAUUUCAAUGAGUUGAAUAUAAAUGAUUCUUCGAGUAGCAAGGAGAGGGCAAGUCUGGUGCCAGCAGCCGCGGUAAUUCCAGCUCUCCUAGUGUAUCUCGUUAUUGCUGCGGUUAAAAAGCUCGUAGUUGGAUCUAGGUUACGUGUUGCAGUUCGCCCUCGUGCGUCAACUGUAGCCGUGACUUCUAAUUUGCUGGUUUGAGGUUGGGUUCGCCCUUCAACUGCCAGCAGGUUUACCUUGAAUAAAUCAGAGUGCUCAAAACAGGCUUUUGCUUGUAUAGCUCAUCAUGGAAUAAUGAAAUAGGACUUCGGUUCUUUUUGUUGGUUCUAGAACUGAUUUAAUGGUUAAGAGGGACAAACCGGGGGCAUUCGUAUCAUUACGCGAGAGGUGAAAUUACGUGGACCCGAGGACC